rnacentral:rRNA from 1 species
UACGUAGGGGGCAAGCGUUGUCCGGAUUUAUUGGGCGUAAAGAGCGUGUAGGCGGCCAGACAGGUCCGUUGUGAAAACUCGAGGCUCAACCUCGAGAUGUCGAUGGAAACCGUCUGGCUAGAGUCCGGAAGAGGAGUGUGGAAUUCCUGGUGUAGCGGUGAAAUGCGCAGAUAUCAGGAAGAACACCUAUGGCGAAGGCAGCACUCUGGGACGGUACUGACGCUGAGACGCGAAAGCGUGGGGGAGCAAACAGG